rnacentral:rRNA from 1 species
AUUGAACGCUGGCGGCAGGCCUAACACAUGCAAGUCGAGCGGAGCGGCGGAAGGGUGAGUAAUGCCUAGGAAUCUGCCUGGUAGUGGGGGAUAACGUCCGGUAACGGGCGCUAAAGCCGCUUCCUAUCAGAUGAGCCUAGGUCGGAUUAGCUAGUUGGUGGGGUAAGGGCCGACAAAGGCGACGAUCCGUAACUGUUAUGAGAGGAUGAUCAGUCACACUGGAACGGAGACACGGUCCAGACUCCUACGGGAGGCAGAAGUGGGGAAUAUUGGACAAUGGGCGAAAGCCUGAUCCAGCCAUGCCGCGUGUGUGAAGAAGGUCUUCGGAUUGUAAAGCACUUUAAGUUGGGAGGCGUUACCAACAGAAUAAGCACCGGCUAACUUCGUGCCAGCAGCCGCGGUAAUAC